rnacentral:rRNA from 1 species
GAAAGAAAUUAGAUUCUUUGCGAACUGCUCAGUAACACGUGGAUAACCUGCCCUAUGCUCUGGAAUAACCUCGGGAAACUGAGAAUAAUACCGGAUAGAUCACAACGCCUGGAACGGUGUGUGGUUGAAAGAUUACGGCAUAGGAUGGGUCUGCGGCGUAUCAGGUUGUAGGGGGUGUAACGGACCUCCUAGCCAUCGACGCGUACGGGUGUUGGGAGACAUAGCCCGGAGAUGGAUUCUGAGACACGAAUCCAGACCCUACGGGGUGCAGCAGGCGCGAAAACUUCACACUGCAGGAAACUGUGAUGAGGGAACUCCAAGUGCGCGCACUUAGUGUGCGCUUUUGUUGACUAUUAAUCGGUCAAUGAAUAAGGGCUGGGAAAGACCGGUGCCAGCCGCCGCGGUAAUACCGGCAGCUCAAGUGGUCGUCGCUUUUAUUGGGCCUAAAACGUCCGUAGCCUGUUUGGUAAAUCUGUGGGUAAAUCAACCAGCUUAACUGGUUGAAUUCUGCAGAGACUGCCAGACUAGGGACCGGGAGAGGUGUGGGGUACUCUAGGGGUAGGGGUAAAAUCCUGUCAUCCUUAGAGGACCACCAGUUGCGAAGGCGCCACACUGGAACGGAUUCGACGGUCAGGGACGAAGCCUAGGGGCACGAACCGGAUUAGAUACCCGGGUAGUCCUAGGUG